rnacentral:rRNA from 1 species
GACGAACGCUGGCGGCGUGCUUAACACAUGCAAGUCGAACGGUGAAGCGCCUUCCUUUUUGGUGGGUGUGGAUGAGUGGCGAACGGGUGAGUAACACGUUAGUAACCUGCCCCCUUCUUCUGGAUAACCGCAUGAAAGUGUGGCUAAUACGGGAUAUUCUGGGUCUGUCGCAUGAUGGGUCUGGGAAAGAUAUUGUUUCGGUUGUGGAUGGGCUCGCGGCCUAUCAGCUUGUUGGUGGGGUGAUGGCCUACCAAGGCGGUGAGGGGUAGCCGGCCUGAGAGGGUGGACGGUCACACUGGGAAUGAGACGCGGAGCAGACUACUACGGGAGGCAGCAGGGGGGAAUAUGGCACAAUGGGAGGAAGCAUGAUGCAGCGACGCCGCGGGAGGGAUGGAGGCCUGCGGGUUGUGAACUUCUUUCGCCAGUGAAGCAGGCCUGCCUCGUUUGUGGGUGGGUUGACGGUAGCUGGAUAAGAAGCGCCGGCUAACUACGUG